rnacentral:rRNA from 1 species
GUCCUUUUGAGUGUAUAAAAGGUCUGACCUGCCCAGUGAUUUAUUUUAACGGCCGCGGUAUAUUGACCGUGCAAAGGUAGCAUAAUCAUUAGUCUUUUAAAAGAGGGCUGGAAUGAAAGGUUUGACGAGGUAUUAACUGUCUCAUUUUAUUUGGAUUUAGAAUUUAACUUUUUAGUCAAAAGGCUUAAAUUUAAUUGGAAGACGAGAAGACCCUAUAGAGCUUUAUAUUAACUAUUUUAGUUAUGAAUAUAUAAUUUUUAAUUAAAUAUUAUUAUUUUGUUGGGGUGACAGAAAAAUAAAACUAACUUUUUUAUUUAUUUUACAUUAAUUUAUGGUUAUUUGAUCCAUUAUUAUUGAUUAUUAGAUUAAGUUACCUUAGGGAUAACAGCGUAAUUUCCUCCCAGAGUUCAUAUUUACGAGUGGAGCUUGCGACCUCGAUGUUGGAUUAAGAUAAUAAUUAGGUGUAGCCGCUUAAUUUAUAGGUCUGUUCGACCUUUAAAUUCUU